GACGAACGCUGGCGGCGUGCUUAACACAUGCAAGUCGAACGGAAAGGCCCUGCUUUUGUGGGGUGCUCGAGUGGCGAACGGGUGAUUAACACGUGAGUAACCUGCCCUUGACUUUGGGAUAACUUCAGGAAACUGGGGCUAAUACCGUAUAGGAGCUCCUGCUGCAUUGUGGGGGUUGGAAAGUUUCGGCGGUUGGGGAUGGACUCGCGGCUUAUCAGCUUGUUGGUGGGGUAGUGGAUUACCAAGGCUUUGACGGGUAGCCGGCCUGAGAGGGUGAACGGCCACAUUGGGACUGAGAUACGGACCAGACUCCUACGGGAGGCAGCAGUGGGGAAUAUUGCACAAUGGGCGGAAGCCUGAUGCAGCAACGCCGCGUGCGGGAUGAAGGACUUCGGGUUGUAAACCGCUUUCGCCUGUGACGAAGCGUGAGUGACGGUAAUGGGUAAAGAAGCACCGGCUAACUACGUG
rnacentral:rRNA from 1 species